AAGAAGAUCCAGAUCAGCCCCUUGCUAUCCAAUUCGGUACGUUGCCCCCUGUCGUGGCCAAUAAUUACCUACUGGCCAAUGAAUUCAAAAAUAAAGAAAAGGAAGAAGAGAGGGAGGACAACGAAGGAGAAGCUUGCAUGCUGGUAUGUGAAGAAGGCCAGACUUCUGGAGAGGCCUACAACGAUGAAGAGGACGAUGGGAUGACAGACAUUGAAGAAGAAAUCAACCUAGAAGCAGAAAGGAAAAAGAGGGGAGUGUCGCGCAACACUCUGUUUAAGCAACUACACCAAGAGGGAGUUCGCGAAGUAGACUUGUUGGGGGAGCCAUCUGGG
rnacentral:lncRNA from 1 species